rnacentral:lncRNA from 1 species
AGUUUACUUCUGGGUUCAGCUGCCUGCCAAGACGCCAGGUGACAAUCGGGGCUCUCCAAGGCCGCUCCUGCCAUUGUCUCCAGCUGUGGGGCCCAAGAAACCACACACGUGAGAUGCACAGUCUGAUAUGGCCGGCUCUGCCCCUCUGGGUUUUAUAUCUUUUCAAAGUGAUUCAUUGAAAGCUGUGGCUGUUGUCAGCUGGGUGCUGGGAGCACUGAACAAAUUCCCUGCCUAGGUUGUGUAGACAACGUGGGGAAUGGGAGACCCUUGGGAUCCUGAUGGUCUCGCCAGGCCUACUGAGACAAGUGUCCAGUGCCAUCGGACCUGUGCUCAUGCAGUUACUUACUACCAUGUGAAUCUGACCAUCAAAAUUCUUCCUACAUUUCAAUUCCCCCAACU